GGGGUUGUAUCUUAGUGGUAGAGCGCUUGCCUAGCAUGCAUGAGGCACUGGGUUUGAUCCUCAGCACCACA
rnacentral:tRNA from 1 species